rnacentral:rRNA from 1 species
UUGUAGNCUUUGGAAACUGUUUAACUUGAGUGCAGAAGGGGAGAGUGGANUUCCAUGUGUAGCGGUGAAAUGCGUAGAUAUAUGGAGGAACACCGGUGGCGAAAGCGGCUCUCUGGUCUGUAACUGACGCUGAGGCUCGAAAGCGUGGGGAGCGAACAGGAUCAGAUACCCUGGUAGUCCACGCCGUAAACGAUGAGUGCUAGGUGUUAGGUCCUUUCCGGGACUUAGUGCCGCAGCUAACGCAUUAAGCACUCCGCCUGGGGAGUACGACCGCAAGGUUGAAACUCAAAGGAAUUGACGGGGGCCCGCACAAGCGGUGGAGCAUGUGGUUUAAUUCGAAGCAACGCGAAGAACCUUACCAGGUCUUGACAUCCCGAUGCCCGCUCUAGAGAUAGAGCUUUACUUCGGUACAUCGGUGACAGGUGGUGCAUGGUUGUCGUCAGCUCGUGUCGUGAGAUGUUGGGUUAAGUCCCGCAACGAGCGCAACCCUUAUUGUUAGUUGCCAUCAUUCAGUUGGGCACUCUAACGAGACUGCCGGUAAUAAACCGGAGGAAGGUGGGGAUGACGUCAAAUCAUCAUGCCCCUUAUGACCUGGGCUACACACGUGCUACAAUGGCUGGUACAACGAGUCGCAAGCCGGUGACGGCAAGCUAAUCUCUGAAAGCCAGUCUCAGUUCGGAUUGUAGGCUGCAACUCGCCUACAUGAAGUCGGAAUCGCUAGUAAUCGCGGAUCAGCACGCCGCGGUGAAUACGUUCCCGGGCCUUGUACACACCGCCCGUCACACCACGAGAGUUUGUAACACCCGAAGUCGGUG